rnacentral:lncRNA from 1 species
UUUGGAAUUGAGUUGUGCCUUUCUCAUGUCAUGGUCAUUCCAAUCCUUUUCGAGUUUGGGUACAGUGACACCCUCUACAUAGAUGGAUGGGAUGUAUGGUCUAUUUACUAUAAUGGUCCACAUCUCAUAGUCUUGGGCUUGGAUAAAUAUUCUCAUCCUAGCCUUCCAAUAUGAGUAGUCGGAUCCAUUAAAGAAUGGGGGUCUUUGGGUGGACUGACCCUCAAUGUGGGAAGAUCCAAAUGGGGUUGUCAUUUUGAUCUUUUACUCUUGGGGUAGAAGAGUUUAGGCUCUGAUACCACUUGUUGCCCAGAUAGACAACCCAAGAGAGGGGGUGAAUUGGGUUUUAAAAUAAUUUUGCAAUUAAAACGUUUGUGGAUGACUAAUUAAUACUUUUGCAAGAUGAUUAAUUAGUUGCUA